UUGAGAUCUUGAUUAAUGAUUUAUUUUUUUUUAAAUUUUGAUUUUCAUGUUUUCGAUUUAUUAUUAUUUUUUGAUUCAGAUCCUUUAAUCCAGAAAGUUGAGUUUGGCCGCGAAGACUUCAUCCAGAAAUUCCUAGUUGGCAUUCCGAGGACUUUUUCCUAAAAGCCCAUGCAAAUAAGGCCGAUUCCUUCGCCGUUGAUCUGUUUGAAUCGAUGGAGGAAUUUACUGGAGGCUCUCAGUCUCAUUAAGAUUUUUUCCUUUUGCAUCACAUUAGUUCGAAAUUCAAGCACUGUUUUGUUGAUAUGCAGCCCGUGACGAAGUUCAUCCCCAUUGCGGCAUUGCCUACAAGAUCAGCAUGCGUUCCAUGUCCGGCGCUGUGCAUAUGCUCCAGGAUCGUCUGUCUGUGUUAUGCCAGUACAUGGCUACUGUGGAGCAGAAACAGUUGCCCCCGGACAAUAAUAUUGGGUAGCAUGAAUUGAGAAUUGUAAUGCUACCUGCAUGUUUUCUUUGACGUUAAAAAACGUAUGGGUUUAAUGCGGACACUUCUUCACUUAACCAACUGUGGCAUAAGAACGAGCAGAAAAUUAAGAAACUUAACGCGCUGGAUGUUUAAAUGGAUGGAUGGAUGGAUGGAUGGAUGUUUUGGAUGUUUAAAGAAUUUGGGAUCUGUCAAAGUGCGCGAAGCGUGCCUUGCCAUGUUUAAUAAUCUUUCCCGCACUGAAGACAAGGUGGGGGAAUGUUUGAAGAUUUCUCAUGCUUGAGAAUGCCCAGCUUGUUUUGCACUAGGAAGGGGCUGAAUGUGCGUUUCGACAGCGCUUUGAAAAAACCGUAAACCACGGCAACAAAGUCGAUCCGAUUUUCCAAAUUGUCUGUAUCGGUAUCUUCUUUGAUGAUUUGGAUUUAACCGCACACAAUUUUGAUAAAGCAUGGAUUCUGCUGUAGCAGGGCGGUGAUUGGGAUCGACGAAACCGGCUAAAGCUGUACGAAGCAUGAAGAUGCUUGAGUUUCAAAAAGCCACCAUCAAUUUUCUGGACUCAGUUAGCACAUUUACCUGUGCGGAGAUACAUAUUAGACUACGAUACCUUCGUGGCGUAUACCGUUAUGUGCGCGAUGCUGACGCUGGAACCAGUGAAACAAAGAAAAAUUGUGUCCGGAGCGCUGAGACUGUGGAAGUUUUGCUUAGAAUGCCGGAUAUGCGACAGUUUCUCAGCUCAUUGUACGGAUCGCAUUAUGCUGAAUUUUUUCAACAUGGCAAACUUUGAGCAGAAAGUAAAAGCGGACCGGUACUGACUGGGCUGAUCAUCGCCUCGACUGCACGCGGGAAAUUAUUGUUACGGUCAAGCAUGCUGCCGUUCUUCCGAUCAUUUCGUUCGGCUGUGGUACUUUUUGGUUUGUCCACGUUUUUCAGCUAGUCAUUGUGUUGGUUUUACUGAGGUGCAUUGCCAGUGAAUAUUAUUGCCGCCGGCGGAUGCUGAUUAACCGAGCACGAUCCACCAUUGUCGUUUACCGCCCUCCGAAUGUUGUGGCUUAUCACGUGGGUGAAGCCCAUCCGAGUUUUUACCCUCGUGCCGAUGUGCAGCCAGCAGCUGUUUAUCCCACAUCACCGGUCCGGGAACAGGCGGCCUGACCUUUCUAGCUUUACCCUGCGGCGGAAAGUAAUGGCCGGCUGCCGGAGAAUCCAAAGGGCCGCAUCCUGCUCCACCGCCCAGUUACAGCGAUUUGUACAAAUACUCGCUUAUUUUGCUUAUGCAUUUUAAAGUAUAACUUGCACGGCCACGUCGCUGAGUUUGAUCUGUCACUGGUGUUUUUUUAUUUUCCAAACCAUCCGUGUGGGGUUGGCUUUGUAAGUUAUUUACAGUGUUGGAGUUUUAUUGAACGAUGUGGUGCUACAUGCCGUCCAUUAUAAAACUUUUAAUAAGUAAUAAGGAACUAUUUUUCUGUAUUGUAAAGUUAUAAUAAAAAUCACGGAAU